ACGAACGCUGGCGGCGUGCUUAACACAUGCCAGUCGAACGGAAAGGCCUAGCUUGCUGGGUACUCGAGUGGCGAACGGGUGAGUAACACGUGGGUGAUCUGCCCCUGACUUUGGGAUAAGCCUGGGAAACUGGGUCUAAUACCGGAUAUUCAUUUUUCCUCGCAUGGGGAUUUGUGGAAAGCUUUUGCGGUUGGGGAUGGGCCCGCGGCCUAUCAGCUUGUUGGUGGGGUAAUGGCCUACCAAGGCGACGACGGGUAGCCGACCUGAGAGGGUGAUCGGCCACACUGGGACUGAGACACGGCCCAGACUCCUACGGGAGGCAGCAGUGGGGAAUAUUGCACAAUGGGCGCAAGCCUGAUGCAGCGACGCCGCGUGAGGGAUGACGGCCUUCGGGUUGUAAACCUCUUUCAGCUCCGACGAAGCGCAAGUGACGGUAGGAGCAGAAGAAGCACCGGCCAACUACGUG
rnacentral:rRNA from 1 species